GGCCCGGGGCUACGAGGAGGCAGAGGAUGGGGCAGGAAGCGCGACCGGGACAAAGGAACCGGCCGCGCGGGAGCGCGCCUGAGGGAGGCCGCGGAGGGCAGGGCCGGGACUGCGUUGAGACAGUCGCCGUGCCUCAGUUUCCUCCUCUGCGAAGGGCGGGAGGAGUCGGACGCGCCCUAGAGCCCCGCGCGUUCCUGGUGUAGCCUGCUGGGCCCGUGUUCUUUAAGUUCCUCUUCCUCGGAGCUGCGCGUUCGACCCUCGCUCCCGUUUGUCCACUGAUGUCCCGUUUCGAGCCCGGGAGAUCCUGCAUCUCGGAAGCCCCCUGAGUCCCGAGGCAAAUCGGGACCAUGAGCCCCCCCUACCCUGCAGGGCUCCGUGGGGCCAAAAACCACGUGGUCCUUCUGGAAGGGAACUGGCUAAGCCAGGACUGCUUUUCUGGAGUGAUAAUGUGCUUGCCUGUGUCUAAGAGAAAGGUGAAGACUUGGGAAACCCAUGGGUGUCACGAAGGGUGGUGAGACUGGGGAACGUUUUAGAAAACCUGUACCCUGGAUGAUCAAUGGCACUUGGAUUUUAAAUAACAUUGUAUAAUAAAUGUAUGUGAUGGCUUUGGAGCAAAUUGAUUGACAAUGGCUAGGAGACAGCUUCCCAAGGCUGGAAAGAGGGGAGUCCGGAACAUGCCUCCACCAUACCACUGCCCACCUCCUGUGACCCCUGCAGCAAAACCUGAAGCCCCAAAGAGGCAGCUUCUCAAAGUAAAAGUGGAAUGAAGUUCCUGGUGACCUGAAUUCCCAUGGAGGAAAGAGGAAAAGGACAUUAUGCAUAGGAGAUGGCAUCUCGUGUCCCUGGUGAACCAAAUUCCAUUAGGAAGAUGGUGCGGUGUGAGGUGGACCUGGACCUGGACCUGGACCUGGAUAAAAUGGGUGUUUAACAAGUAUUUGUUGAGUAGGUGGUGGAGGAGGCAUGACUAGAUGCAGGGUCUAGCUGAGUUGACAAGAGCUAACACCAGGUGUGGACCAGGACAGGGGGACCUUAAGCGAAGACACCCUGCCAGAUGUGUCUUGUUCCCUUGACUGUGGGGAGGCCCUUGGUGGUGGGGUGACAGUCCCCCAGUCUGAGGAUUUUCCCUGGAUGCAGCCUCUCAGUGCUAAAAUGGGACAGUCCCAGGCAAACCAGGUCAGUUGGUCACUCUACUCAGUGAG